GUGUGCUUUUAAUUUUUCUUAUUCCAUAUGUGGGUGAUAUUUUUGGUUUCUCUCACUCUCACUCUCACUCUCUCUAUUUCCUGUUUCUAGGUUUUGAUUUCACAUUUGUAGGGUUUUCAAUUGAUUCCAGGUCACAGCGGGCGAUACUUUGUAUAUAGCUGCGAAGACAUUCGAAGAAUUGAAUCUGUCUGCUGACUUGUUGAAGGGUUUAUAUGUGGAGAUGAAGUUUAGAGGCCGAGUAAGAUCCAGACGAUGAGUUUGCGUAUGAUUCUGACCCCUCCUUACAAGCACUUGAUCGCUCAGGCACACAAUGGUUCUGGCAAGACUACUUGUUUCGUGCUUGGCAUGUUGAGCCGUGUUGAUCCCAAACUCACUGCUCCUCAGGCGCUCUGUAUCUGCCCUACCCGAGAAUUGGCGAUCCAGAACAUGGAAGUUCUUAAGAAGAUGGGGAAUUAUACAGGAAUUACUUCUGAAUGUGCUAUACCAAUGGAUAGCAGCAAUUAUGUUCCAAUUUCAAAACGAGCACCAGUGACAGCACAAGUAGUGAUUGGCACUCCUGGUACAAUCAAUAAAUGGGUGACAGCAAAGAAAUUGAGCACGAACUAUUUGAAGAUUCUUGUUUUUGAUGAAGCUGACCACAUGUUGGCAGAGGUUUGAAGAAUUUGAAUCUGACUUUUCAUUCUUUGCAUAGCUAAAGCCAACACUUCCAAGUAGCUGAUCACCAUUCUGCUUAUCACCUCAUCUCCAAACAUCUUUGCCCUCUAUUUUCUAUUGGAGGCAUAAAUAAAAUUCAGAUUGAUCUUAAGAUAGUCAAAGUACCAAGUCAACGUUUAAUAUCCAUCAACAUAUUAUGAGCCAAAACAAUUGACUAGAACUUCCUAUAUUGAUUGAUAAUGGAGGUUAAAUAGGCACAAAGGAUGGUUAUAGCUAAACUGGUUCCUUCAAGGCCUUCUUCUCCACUUUUAGGUCCUUUUUCGAGCUCCUAGCCAGUGCUAUUGAUUCCUCACCCUCUAAUGCAUGUUCUGAAGCUGCAGUCAGUGCCAUUAGACCAAAAACUGUGAGGUUCAAGCCAAUGGUGAACCACCCUCCUAAACUUUCUUCCCAGAUGGAAAAUCCACCGUGGUCUUUUUUGGACUUCGUUUUUGGCCUUCUACAGCUUCUUGUCCAUUCAAGAAGGUGGCUAAGGGUUUGAAUUCAGAUGGAAAAUCCACUGUGGUUUACAAACCGUUGGCGAAGGUUAUAUGAAAGACAACAUUGUCUCUCUUGGCAAAUUUGGUUUAGUUUCUUCAAAAUAGAAAUGUCGUUGUUGUGAUCCACAAUGAACGAAACUUCAAUGUCCUCUGUGUUUGUGGGUGGUGUAAGGCCUUUUGGAGUUUCACUGCUAGUUGUUGGCCAACCGUAUCAGGGAUGUCAUUUGGGUCCUCAUUCGGUCGAACUUACUCAGAAUGGGUAAUAGACAGAGUAUGAUUGGCCUUCUAAAUGCUGCCUAUGUCAUGUUGUGAUUGAAGAGGGGAUUGAUCCUCAAACUACUCGAUUGGAUUGCUUGCGUAUGGGAUCAUGUCGCAUAUUGUCAAACUUCAUACAUGCAAAUUUUUUCUUUACAUGCAAGCUGGCUGAACUUGUACUGAAUAACAUCUUGCCUCUUAUUUGUUUUGUAUGAAAUUAUUAUUUGAAGUUGGAAUAUACUUGGUUUGUAUGCAAUGUUGACAUUAAAAGUUAUUCUCUUGUUUGGAUGGUUAUAAGUGAAAUAAAUGCAGAUUGCGAAAUGGGUGAUAAUA